CGACGGAAUCACUGAGCUAAAUCCCCGGCCCAUCUGUGUAAUCUUUACACUUAGUCAUUCUAAAGGGCCACAAAGUGGCAGAGGUGGAGCCCCCUAGAAUCUCCUGACUUCUCCUGCUACACUCCUCCCUCAGUGCCUCGGACCCACUAGGUAAUCUGAGUUCUGAGGGACUGGGAUCUCAAGGCCAGACCAGCUCACCCCCUACCACAUCCAACCCCUGAACCAUUGCUGGGGAAGAGCAGCCCUGUGGGCCUCAAAGCACAGCUCCACCGUCCACAUUCAGGCAGAAGGAAAAGAAACGCUGCAUUCCAAGCCUCCCUCGGGACCAAGCACGCCUUUGUUCACUCUCUCCCCAGCCACACGCAUAAGCCUUAUGGGUAGGAGACAGUCUCAGCCCUCCCUUGGGAGCAGAGCAGUCACUCAAAGGCAUGCAAAAGGCAAAUUCACUGUACAGAGUGUAUACAGGGAAAUAAAAAGCUGCACGGGCUCUGAGUGCUUGAGCAAGGAAGUAUAGCAAAGCAGGAAAGUCCAGACACAAAACCAAACAAAACACCAGGCAUAAAAUAAUCCACUCUCAGGGAGGCAGUUUCCACCUCCUGGGAGGAACACCCAGCGUGCAGUCAGGCAGAGUGGGCAGGCACAUGGGAAACAAUAGGCCUUUCUUUCUCCAGCAGCUGAGCACACACCCAGGAGAAAGGAGCCCUCUCAGGAAGGCGAAGUCCGAGCCCGGCCCAGAGAGUAUGUGAGGCCAGUUGACAACACAGUACUUGCAUUCAAAUUCCUUCUGAAAAGGGACUCUGAAAUGGAUGUUGCAAGAGGCAACCUGGGGUGGUUUGUCAGAAGGAGCCCAAAAAAGUUCCAGGAAUAAGCAGUCCUUGGCCCAGUGGACCAGGCCCGAGACAGGGGAGGUGCCUCACCCAGAGGCCUGGGUGAUUACAAUGGGUUGGUGGGGGCCCUGGGUGUUCCUGACCCUGCUCCAGGGGGGCAGAGGUGACAUCCACCCCCUGGCAGUUUUGUCCUCAGAACUGAGUAGGCAGGAAUCCUUCCCAUGCACACAGCGUGACCCAGUGCUGGUCUCCGCUAGGCAGGCCCAGACGGGGAGGAAUGACAGACCUGUCAUGUGGUUUUGGAGCAGGAGGCAUAGUUCAGUUUCUGGUUGCCACAGUCCCACCCCUGACCUCCACAGGAUUGGACAGGGAGGAAAGGAGCCCCUGGCAGAUUGCCUGACAUUCCUGAGGCUGUGGAUUCAGCACCUUCCUAAGAGGGCAGCCAUGGGCCUGUCUGCCACCCCACCUUCCUUGAUGCUAGCUGAUUAUGGACUGAAACCUCUACAGACUGUGAGCUAAAUAAACCUUUUCUCCUUUAACUUUGGGUGUUGGGUAUUUUGUCUCAGCAAUGAGAAAAGUAACUAAGAUAGCAGAAUUCUGGGAUUUGGCCCUAGCCACUGCACACCUCUGAAAAUCAGGCCCUUGACUGUCCCUCCAACCCACAUCAUCCUGGAAUAUAGAACAUGGAGCUCACCACCUGCAAUCUCCAGGUAGUACUUGAAUUGCUGAGCAAACACUUGCUAUUGGCAAAAGUACAAAGCUCUGCAAAAGGUCCAACAGGAAAAACUAAACACAGAAGAACAGCAUCAGCUGGGUGGGGUGGGGGCACAGGAACUUUGAGGAGACCCUUGUGGCAGUGGCUGAGGUCGAGCUAGGGUGGGUCCUGGUCACAAGGGAUGGAGAGGCGGGGACCGAGGACGGUACACCUCUCAUCCCAUGCCUUGCUAGUGCUGUGCCUCUGGAAGGACUCGGUGCGCAAGCUAACCAUGGAUGUCUCCCUGACAGCCCGCCUUGCAUCCUGUGGCCAGUUGCUGCCACAUUCCCGAGCGAUUCCCCAUGAGACUCCUGGACACCACCUUGUCUGUGCCUGGCUGACGUCUGAACGCACCCGUGGGCACUGAGCACAAAGCUGUCACCAUUUACCUGAUGUAGAGGGAAUAGAUGUAACUUCCAAACCUGCUAGAGUCUCAGUUUUGGAUAUUUGGAUCUCAUAUUUGGAUGCAGCUUCACUCAGUCUCUUCAAAUAAAAGUCUGGGAGAGUAUCUGGCAGUAGGAGUGACUACUGCUUCCUCCGAAAGUGCAAAGUGGGGCUACUGAAGCACUAAUUGACCCAGGGUCAUCACCGUUCUUACAACUACAGAGCUGACUAAAGAGUCUUAGAGAUGUCCAUCUAAGACCCUCACUUCACAGUUGAAAAACUGAAGCUCAGCCAAACUAGUAUGGUGGUUUAUAACCUUCACUGCUAUAAUUAAUGCAGGUUUUUAAAAAUCCAGGCUCUAUCCUCAGAUAUUCUGAUAUAUGUAGUCUGAGGUAAGACUCAAACAUCAGUGUUACAAAAAAUCUCCUUAGGUGACCUUAAUAUGAAUUAGGGUUGAGAAGCUCUGGUACAGUUGGAAAAAUAUAGGCCUUAUAGUCCUCAAUAUCUG
rnacentral:lncRNA from 1 species